CCUACGGGUGGCAGCAGUGAGGAAUAUUGGUCAAUGGACGCGAGUCUGAACCAGCCAAGCAGCGUGAAGGAUGACUGCCCUAUGGGUUGUAAACAUCUUCUAUAUGGGAGUAAACUGUUCCACGUGUGGGCUUUUCUAUGUACCAUAUGAAUAAGGAUCGGCUAACUCCGUGCCAGCAGCCGCGGUAAUACGGAGGAUACGAGCGUUAUCCGGAUUUAUUGGGUUUAAAGGGAGCGUAGGUGGAUUGUUAAGUCAGUUGUGAAAGUUUGCGGCUCAACCGUAAAAUUGCAGUUGAAACUGGCAGUCUUGAGUACAGUAGAGGUGGGCGGAAUUCGUGGUGUAGAGGUGAAAUGCGUAGAGAUCACGAAGAACUCCGAUGGCGAAGGCAGCUCACUGGACUGCAACUGACACUGAGGCUCGAAAGUGUGGGGAUCAAACAGGAUUAGAUACCCGGGUAGUC
rnacentral:rRNA from 1 species